UUUAGGAACAUCUUAUCUAAAUAAAUCUAAUGUGGAAUUUUCACAUUAGACUAUGUGACAAGCGACGUGCUUUAGUGAUGGUCUAUUGAUUGCGUUCGUGUUCGUGUCCAAUCGUGCACGUUCGUCUUUGGUGCGUUCGAAGUCUCUUUCGCAUGUACACGAGGUUCGUGUAUCACGCCGUCAGGAAGACGUUCGGAUUGAGGCAUAUUUUGUUAUUUCAGGCUCUCUGAAUGUCUCAGGAAGCGUGGUAGCUAGUCACAGGGACAACAGGAACUCAACAGCAAUUCAAUACAGACAAAAUGCAAAUAAAAUCAGGGUCUCAAAAAAACCCAGAAUGGUUGAAAAUACUAAUAUGAUGCCUGGUGAAAAAGCAGCAGCAGAAAUCCUAUGUGUCAGCUUGAAAAGGAAAAAGUUACUGACCCCUUCUACAUCACACUAUUUAUGUAUUAUGUACCCAGAGGGAACAGAAAGCACAGAAAAUGGCAUUACUUCCAGUACCACCAAAACAAACCGUGCAUGUGUACUUGCCAAUCUUCUUGAGUGUAUCCAAGUUGUCUGCUGGCACCAGUACUUUAGAGUUCUACCUGUUGACUCACAGCCACAAUUUCUCCAUCCCUGUCUUUGUUAACCUUCUCCAUCAGUUUUUCAACAGAGUCCACAAGGAUCACCAUGUCUUUGGCAUACAGCAACUCCCAAGGACAACCAGCACAGAAUUCCUCUGGUGAAUUAAUUAAAAGCUUUUGAGGCUAAAACAAAGUGUUCUAGGUAUGCUGGUGCAAAGCCUCUCAAGGGUACUGGUGAAUGGAAAGAAGGGACAAGUUGUGGAAACAGAUGAAAAGAAACCAGAAGUAAAGGUGGAUUUUCCUGAUAUAGCCAAGACCAUCACAGUGUCUCCAUACGCAUUCACAAGAAACAGUAAGCAGAUGAAGAAAAACACUGCUACAAGAUGCCAGAUACCUCUGUGCCAUUCAUAAAAGUCAAGGGAUGACUUUGAAGAGUGCAGUUGUUGAUACCAAGUGUGUCUUUAAUGGGCAGGUCAGUGUGACAAUAGGACGGGUGCAGCAUCCUGAACAUUUGCAGUUUAUGAAUUUCAACCCCCAGAAUUCAGUGUAAGGAGGUAGUUUUAUACAUUGUAAGAUACCAAUUUAACUUGCUGAUGAUGUACAUAUAAUAUGAAGUGACAAUAUUAUAAUAUUUUACAUACAAACAGUAUCAUCAUAUUUUAUGCCGAUGUACGCAUAGCUAGUACAACAGCUAAAAAUUGGGUAAUAAAAACAUCAGUUACAUCAUUACAAGAGAGAAUCAAAAAUUAUAAACUUAGAACUCAGAAACAAUUAAAAAAUUUUAGUUAAAUGUUGACAAUAUUUGGGUGUCCACAAUUACAUAUGUCUACUUCACAUUAUGUAGUGUACUGCAUGUAGUAUGUUAAUUUUGAUAGCUCUCAUCAAAUACUGAUAACAAGUAUGGUGAAUAAUAUAUGGCACCUUUUUCUUUUAUUUUUGAUCAUUUUAUACAAAGGGUAUAGUUGAAAAUAACAUUGUCACAUUUGAUAACUGACAGCAAAGUACUUAACCCACAUAUAUGUCGUUUAUACAUAUAUGGUUAUGAACUGGCAAUUUGAUCAUUAGUGUACCUUAUAUUUUGUUAAAAGUUAGACACAUAGAUUAGCUGGAUGUAGGUACCUGCAUGAACAUUUCCAACUAAACUGCGUUAUGAUUACUUAGCUCCCCUGUGAAAUUAUAAUUAAGUAAAUCAGUCUUGAUAUUAUGAGAGUCAUCACAAAUAAUGCUGAUGCAUCUGGGUCAGAAGUUGACUGUCAGAUUGAGAUAGACAGGGCAGGAAUUAAGUGCUAAUUUAUAAAUGCAAAGUCACACCAUAAUUGUUUUUUAAAACAUAAAGUGAUUAUCUCGAGUGCAGACUCAUUGCCAGUAAACAUUUGAUUAUCUUCUUCACAGUAUAGGAGUAUGUACUCUACCAAUAUUCAGUUUUAUCUUUAAUGUAACCUAGCUAUUUAAUACUAAUAACAUUAAGUACACAAUAUACUCAGGGUUUCCCCUAGGCUUUUUAUUUUGAGAGUCAUGAUGACUCCCAAAGCUUUUUAAUGGGAAUCAAAUGAAAAAAAAAAGAGUCAAGUCAGUAAACAGAUUUUUAUUCAUUUAUAUGCUAGAUCACUACACAGCUUGUACAAUUUAAGGUGCUUAUUUAUUCUUCCCUUUUCCUGAAAUAGUAACACUGCUUUUCCAAAAUUGAAGUCUGCUACAGGAGGACCCUGAAGUCUUAUGAAAGACGGUCUGUUUAAUUUCUCAUUUGACAAAGUUUCUAACAGGAUUUUUUAUAGUAUUUUGAAUGCUGAAGCCUCGAUCAGAGGAGACUGGAAUAACACUUGCAAUCAAAGCUAACUUGACAAAGUCAGGAUUUGUCCUUGUUCUCUCUAAUCAGAUUCUUACAAAAGUUCUCAAAUUUUAAGGCCUUUUUAAAUGAUUUCGCAUAAUUUUUGAACACAAGAAAUUGACUUCUGAGAUUUUCUGCAUCAACAAUGUUACUAUAGAGUUCUAUAAGCUUCUCAAGUUGCUUAUUUCCAUAUUCUGCAAUAUUGACAACAUCAGGGUAUUUGUUUGGGUUUAGCACAAUGUCACUCUAGUAUAUUUAGAUCAUUUUCAGGAAACCUUUGUGAUAUUAUUUUUCAAAGAGUCUAAAUAAUUAUUUCUUACUGCCACAAACCUUUGCCUUACAGAUUGAUUGUCAGUCAAUUCAACUCCAGUAUACAUUGCUUUUUCUCCAGGUGGAGGGUCACCAAGAGUUUGUAGGAUAGUGUUAACUUUGUGAGAUCCUUGUCUGAAACUUUCCAAAGUAUAGCCAAAUUAAGUAUAGCCAAAGUUGAGUCAACUG